GAUGAACGCUGGCGGCGUGCCUAAUACAUGCAAGUCGAGCGAACAGACGAGGAGCUUGCUCCUCUGACGUUAGCGGCGGACGGGUGAGUAACACGUGGAUAACCUACCUAUAAGACUGGGAUAACUUCGGGAAACCGGAGCUAAUACCGGAUAAUAUAUUGAACCGCAUGGUUCAAUAGUGAAAGACGGUUUUGCUGUCACUUAUAGAUGGAUCCGCGCCGCAUUAGCUAGUUGGUAAGGUAACGGCUUACCAAGGCGACGAUGCGUAGCCGACCUGAGAGGGUGAUCGGCCACACUGGAACUGAGACACGGUCCAGACUCCUACGGGAGGCAGCAGUAGGGAAUCUUCCGCAAUGGGCGAAAGCCUGACGGAGCAACGCAGCGUGAGUGAUGAAGGUCUUCGGAUCGUAAAACUCUGUUAUUAGGGAAGAACAAAUGUGUAAGUAACUAUGCACGUCUUGACGGUACCUAAUCAGAAAGCCACGGCUAACUACGCG
rnacentral:rRNA from 1 species